UUUUCGUGGAGGAGGUUUAUUGCCUGUGGCUGAUCCGCCACCAGGAAGCUGGUCAUUUUGGGCAGCAUGAGCAUACAUGCCUCCCUGGAUUGGUUGUGACAAUCCAUCAAACUGCAUACUUUCUUCCACUCCAUGUCACCUGUAGCAGAAUGAACCUAUGACCCAAUUAUAAUGAGAGAAGCAGAUCAAAAGGUGAACUUAUCUCGAAGAAAGUCCAUCAAGAUGUAAGAAUGGUACAAGUUCCACAUUGAAUUCCCACUUUGGAUGGGAUAUGCUUGUGUAAUAGUAGGUAAAGGUCAUCAACGAACUGCAACAAUUAAGCUCCAAUCUAUUGACAAUUCAAUCUAUACCUAUAAAAAGGGCCGUGGAUGCUUCCUCUGCCAACAGGAGGAAGUUUUCUGAUAGGUGUAAGACAGAAACUGCCCCAGCGACACUCUUAUGGCUGUUUCCAACUGCAUACUCUGCUACACAUCUAAGCAAGGCAUUGAGGCAAUGUUUUCUUGUUGUGCAACAUAAAAUUUUGACGUGGUUUGACAUAACUUUACUAAUGUGCAUUGCACAUGAUUGACAGAGGUUAUAAAGUGUCUUCCCUUCCGUUAAUUAACACAUCUGCAUUCUAGUAAAAUUUUCUUUUUAAUGCAGAAUGAAGAAACAUAGAAUGUUGGAUUUGUUGUUGAGAUACCUUUCUCCUCCUCUCUUCUCUUCCUCCUUCUCCCUAUACUUUAAGACAAGAUCAAAGAACAAGAACAACAAAUAGCAUAAAGUGGGGGGAGAGAGGGAAUCACAGAUGAUACAAAUAUAAGACACACAAAAUACAGAAGAAUAAAAUAUAAGUAUAAUUCUCUCUCCCACUGAAAUUUCAAAGUUCAAGAAUUUGUGAAGAUUACCCAUUUCAUAUCAAGGCUCUAUUCACAAGUCACAUGCCUAAAGAGCUAGUUUCUGAUAUGGAUUUUCUGUCACAAGUGACAAUCGGGUUGGGUUUAGAUGAGGAACAAUGGUUGAGUUGUUCUCAUUAGGUGGUGGUGGUGGAGGUAGAGGAAGCAACCAAUAUGACCAACAUAACAAAUCACCAACUGAAAUCCCAUAAUAAAUGUAGUUUUGAUACAAAAAUGAAAACAUUCCUUAAGGUUUUUGAGCUAUGUUACAGGUUAAAAUUUCCCCAACAAAGGAUCCAAGUACACAACAAAAUCUUUAUUCUUCAACUACUAGAUUAAGGAUAGGUAGGUUGCAACAGGAGCUCAAUCAAGGUCUUCAAUAAGUCUUCAUUGAGAUCAACCUUCAUGAUGAUGAGGUCUAGUGGUGGAAGAGGAAGAAUGAAUUACCAAUAUUACAGCAACCGUGCAAAAAACGACAGCAUACUAGGACUUACUCAAGAGUAAAGGAUUUAAUUGCCAAACCCAUGUUAAAAAGCCCAUGGGUUCUUGCUACUAAGGCUGAGAGAGGCAACAAUGAUUUUCUUGCUUUGCAGCAAUAACAUCAACUUCAAUGCCAUAGAGAGAAUCCGAAAAGACGCAGAAAGAAUCCAAGCUCUUCCUUUCUUGCUUGCACUUUGCUUACCUAAGAAUGCUGCAGGGAAUUGAUAAUUAUGAUAUACAAGAAAAAUUUGUAUCUUGUUAACAAGACUUAAGUGACUAUGGGACUAAUUUACGAUGA
rnacentral:lncRNA from 1 species